rnacentral:rRNA from 1 species
GUCUAAGGCCAUAGCAGUGAACGCGCUCAAUCUCAUCUGGUCUCAAAAGCUAAACAGGGUCAGGCCUGGUUAGUACUUGAAUGAGAGAUAGAUUUUCAGAAGAGACU